GGGUCAGGAGGUUGGUCGUGCCACCGGUACGUACUGGUCUCGCUGAUUCCUCCUUCCUGAAGAACCGUAAUGCCAUUAAUUUGGUGUUGCGGGGAAACAGGACUGUUACUUUGAAAAAAUUAGAGUGUUUAAAGCAAGCUAACGCUUGAAUACAUUAGCAUGGAAUAAUGAAAUAGGACGAUCGAUCCUAUUUUGUUGGUUUCUAGGAUUGACGUA
rnacentral:rRNA from 1 species